UUCCACAGCUACUGGUCUGCAGCUGUUCUUAUGGUAGCAGUUGUGGCAUUCCUCUGUGGGAAAGAAACUGUUAACACAAACACCUCUUUCUUAGCAAAACAGAAAGUGGGUAUAUGUGUGACAGACACAAGAUGUAUCUGUAGUUUUGUUUGGCUAAGGAGAUAGUCUCAAAACAAAUUGAGAUGGAUUUGUUUGUGUCUUGGAGUAGGGUGAAAAAAAUACAAUUCAUUAUUUGAAUAAUGCUGUUUAUUGUUUUUAGAACCUGCACUUGUUGCCAAGUCUUCCAUCUUACUAGAUGUGAAACCUUGGGAUGAUGAGACAGAUAUGGCAAAAUUAGAGGAGUGCGUCAGAAGCAUUCAAGCAGAUGGCUUAGUCUGGGGCUCAUCUAAACUAGUUCCAGUGGGAUACGGAAUUAAGAAACUUCAAAUACAGUGUGUAGUCGAAGAUGAUAAAGUUGGAACAGAUAUGCUGGAGGAGCAGAUCACUGCUUUUGAGGACUAUGUGCAGUCCAUGGAUGUGGCUGCUUUCAACAAGAUCUAAAAUCCAUCCUGGAUCAUGACAUUUAAAUAAAAGCUUGAAAGAUUA
rnacentral:sRNA from 1 species